rnacentral:rRNA from 1 species
UACAGAGGUCUCAAGCGUUGUUCGGAUUCAUUGGGCGUAAAGGGUGCGUAGGUGGCGCCGUAAGUCAGGUGUGAAAUUUCGGAGCUUAACUCCGAAACUGCAUUUGAUACUGCGGUGCUUGAGGACUGGAGAGGAGACUGGAAUUUACGGUGUAGCAGUGAAAUGCGUAGAGAUCGUAAGGAAGACCAGUGGCGAAGGCGGGUCUCUGGACAGUUCCAUGACAGCUGAGGCACGAAGGCCCAGGGGAGCAAACGGG